AAGGAGCACAAUCGGCUACGCCGUCCCCUCCUGGGGAGACAUGGUCGGUGGCCGUCAUCGACGACGAGCGCUCGUCGGACGGCUGCUCAUAGAUGUGGAGCACUGGCUACUCACUUCGGCGAUGGACCGAAGUCCGCGAGUACUGCCCCCGGCCCUUGGUCGGCGGCGUGGAAACCCGGACCCACGACAUCACCGCAGUGAACACGCUGUUGGGUCCUGAGGAAACGGACCCUCAGCCCGGCCCCCCACUCAAUGGGGUGCUGGGCGAGGUCGUUUCUUCAAGACCGCGGGACCAGUCUUCAUCACUGCGCGAUCGGUGGUGGGCUGGUGGGCCUGCUUGUUGUUUGAGAACUGCACAGUGGACGCGAGCAUCUCUGAACGAGAGACCGCUGAGAAGCCUGGGGACCGGUCUUUUGGUUCCGUGGGUUUUCUGGUUUCUUGUUCUCUGUUGCGAUUUGUUUGAUCGUUUUGU
rnacentral:misc_RNA from 1 species